UACGUAGGUGGCAAGCGUUGUCCGGAAUGACUGGGCGUAAAGCGUGCGUAGGCGGUUAUUCAAGUUAGUAGUGAAAUCCCGAGGCUCAACUUCGGUGCUACUGCUAAGACUGUUUAACUUGAGUGCAGGAGGGGUAAGUGGAAUUCCUAGUGUAGCGGUGGAAUGCGUAGAUAUUAGGAGGAACACCAGUGGCGAAGGCGACUUACUGGACUGUAACUGACGCUGAGGUACGAAAGCGUGGGGAGCAAACAGG
rnacentral:rRNA from 1 species